UACGUAGGGUGCGAGCGUUAAUCGGAAUUACUGGGCGUAAAGCGUGCGCAGGCGGUUCGCUGUGUCCUGUGUGAAAGCCCCGGGCUUAACCUGGGAAUGGCAUGAGAAACUGCCGGGCUUGAGUAUGGGAGAGGUGAGUGGAAUUCCUGGUGUAGCGGUGAAAUGCGUAGAUAUCAGGAGGAACACCUGUGGCGAAAGCGGCUCACUGGACCAUAACUGACGCUGAUGCACGAAAGCUAGGGGAGCAAACAGG
rnacentral:rRNA from 1 species